rnacentral:rRNA from 1 species
GACGAACGCUGGCGGCGUGCUUAACACAUGCAAGUCGAACGAAAAGAGGGAAAGAGCUUGCUCUUUCCGGAAUUGAGUGGCAAACGGGUGAGUAACACGUAAACAACCUGCCUUCAGGAUGGGGACAACAGACGGAAACGACUGCUAAUACCGAAUAAGUUCCAAGGGCCGCAUGGCCCAUGGAAGAAAAGGUGGCCUCUACCUGUAAGCUAUCGCCUGAAGAGGGGUUUGCGUCUGAUUAGCUGGUUGGAGGGGUAACGGCCCACCAAGGCGACGAUCAGUAGCCGGUCUGAGAGGAUGAACGGCCACACUGGAACUGAGACACGGUCCAGACUCCUACGGGAGGCAGCAGUGGGGAAUCUUCCGCAAUAGGCGAAAGCCUGAAGGAGCAACGCCGCGUGAGUGAUGACGGCCUUCGGGUUGUAAAACUCUGUGAUCCGGGACGAAAAGGCAGAGUGCGAAGAACAAACUGAAUUGACGGUACCGGAAAAGCAAGCCACGGCUAACUACGUG